UGGGGAAUAUUGGACAAUGGGCGAAAGCCUGAUCCAGCCAUGCCGCGUGUGUGAAGAAGGUCUUCGGAUUGUAAAGCACUUUAAGUUGGGAGGAAGGGCAUUAACCUAAUACGUUAGUGUUUUGACGUUACCGACAGAAUAAGCACCGGCUAACUCUGUGCCAGCAGCCGCGGUAAUACAGAGGGUGCAGGCGUUAAUCGGAAUUACUGGGCGUAAAGCGCGCGUAGGUGGUUUGUUAAGUUGGAUGUGAAAUCCCCGGGCUCAACCUGGGAACUGCAUUCAAAACUGACUGACUAGAGUAUGGUAGAGGGUGGUGGAAUUUCCUGUGUAGCGGUGAAAUGCGUAGAUAUAGGAAGGAACACCAGUGGCGAAGGCGACCACCUGGACUAAUACUGACACUGAGGUGCGAAAGCGUGGGGAGCAAACA
rnacentral:rRNA from 1 species